GCCGUGUGGAACUUCCCGCGCACCAAGGAGCAUCACCUGCCGCUGCAGAUCGGGGAGAUGGUGCACAUCCUGCAGGCCUCCGAGGGCUGGUACUGCGGGUACUCGCUCCGGAACAGGGCUGCCCGGGGCAUCUUCCCCGCCUCGCUGAUCCGGCUGAAGGGCACCACGGUGGAGCAGAGGGGGCUGGAGGAGAGCUCGGUGCCCUCCGACAUGCCCAUGGUGCAGGAGAUCACCACCACGCUGCGCGAGUGGGCCACCAUCUGGAAGCAGCUCU